GGGCUACAAAUGUAAUUUUAAGAAAAAAAGCUCUCUACAGUAAGUUCUCGUACCAUUGAAGGUAUAUUUUUGUGUUAUAGACCCAUGCAGAUGCAAAAGUCCAAGUGCUGGACAAUCAAAACGUAAGCUUGUCAUUGUUUAAUGCAUACUUAAACAAUUUUAUUUUUGUCUUGAAAUUAUUAAUAAUGUGGUUUUCUGUCCACUUCCCCUAUGCAGGUGUCCAACGGAUGUGUGAGUAAAAUUCUGGGCAGGUAUUACGAGACUGGCUCCAUCAGACCCAGGGCAAUCGGUGGUAGUAAACCGAGAGUAGCGACUCCAGAAGUUGUAAGCAAAAUAGCCCAGUAUAAGCGGGAGUGCCCGUCCAUCUUUGCUUGGGAAAUCCGAGACAGAUUACUGUCCGAGGGGGUCUGUACCAACGAUAACAUACCAAGUGUGUCAUCAAUAAACAGAGUUCUUCGCAACCUGGCUAGCGAAAAGCAACAGAUGGGCGCAGACGGCAUGUAUGAUAAACUAAGGAUGUUGAACGGGCAGACCGGAAGCUGGGGCACCCGCCCUGGUUGGUAUCCGGGGACUUCGGUGCCAGGGCAACCUACGCAAGAUGGCUGCCAGCAACAGGAAGGAGGGGGAGAGAAUACCAACUCCAUCAGUUCCAAUGGAGAAGAUUCAGAUGAGGCUCAAAUGCGACUUCAGCUGAAGCGGAAGCUGCAAAGAAAUAGAACAUCCUUUACCCAAGAGCAAAUUGAGGCCCUGGAGAAAGGUGAUAGAGUUUUUCAAAGUAGAGAAGAAGUAAAUCAAAGUAAAUGCCACAUCUUCAGUACAAAGAGCUAAAUUUAGCCAGGGCCCUUUGCAUAGAGGAAUGAAAAGAUUUCCUUUUUUCUGUCUUUUUAUUUCUCUGGGCAUCUUUUCAGUGUGUGUGUGUGUGUGUGUGGUGUGUGUGUGUGUGUUUCUUCUUUUCAUCUACCAGUAAUUCAAAGACUAAAUGACUGACUUAUAAGGAAAAAUGAUGAUUUGGCUAUUUCAGGCAACAGAAAGGUCACUGAAUGUCAUUCCAAAGAAAAUUUAACUUGGUUCUGGUGGGAAAGUUCUUCCAAGUACAGUCAACACUAGAAGCAUUUUAAAGGGAAUUGGUUGGAGGUAAUGGGAGUGGGGAAGUGGGAACCAGUUUGAUCCACAGUUUGGUCAACAUAUUUUGUGUAGUUCUGGCACAAUAUGGAAAAUCAACUUACUCUUUCAGAGUUUGAGAGAACCCAUUAUCCAGAUGUGUUUGCCCGAGAAAGACUAGCAGCCAAAAUAGAUCUACCUGAAGCAAGAAUACAGGUACCAAGAGACUGUGCAGUUUUACACUUUGUGAUUCAUACCAUUUGUCUUUCCUAGAGACAGAGGUACUUGUACAGAGCACUGUUUAUUUAUAGGACUAAUAACAGGUUCAGUCUGCUAAAUGCUCUGCUGUCAUGGGUGUGGGGAGGGCAGCAGUGGAGGUGCCAAGGUGGGGCUGGACUCGACGUAGACACAGUGCUAACCUGUCCCACCUGAUUUCCAGGUAUGGUUUUCUAAUCGAAGGGCCAAAUGGAGAAGAGAAGAAAAACUGAGGAAUCAGAGAAGACAGGCCAGCAACACACCUAGUCAUAUUCCUAUCAGCAGUAGUUUCAGCACCAGUGUCUACCAACCAAUUCCACAACCCACCACACCUGUUUCCUCCUUCACAUCUGGCUCCAUGUUGGGCCGAACAGACACAGCCCUCACAAACACCUACAGCGCUCUGCCGCCUAUGCCCAGCUUCACCAUGGCAAAUAACCUGCCUAUGCAACCCCCAGUCCCCAGCCAGACCUCCUCAUACUCCUGCAUGCUGCCCACCAGCCCUUCGGUGAAUGGGCGGAGUUAUGAUACCUACACCCCCCCACAUAUGCAGACACACAUGAACAGUCAGCCAAUGGGCACCUCGGGCACCACUUCAACAGGACUCAUUUCCCCUGGUGUGUCAGUUCCAGUUCAAGUUCCUGGAAGUGAACCUGAUAU
rnacentral:sRNA from 1 species